rnacentral:lncRNA from 1 species
UUGCAGUGCUGGGGAUUGAACCCAUAGACUCCUGUAUGCUCGCCAGGCCCUCUAGAGAGAGGAACUAUAUCCCUAAAACAAUAUAAGAUAGUUCCUGACAGUGGACAUUGGAUUUUCUUCCCACAAAAGAAAGAAAGUCCGAGGACUCUGUACUGGAUUAGCGUUUUCCAAAGUUCAUGUCCAUUUGGAACCUACAAAUAGGGUCCUUGUAAUGUAUUCAAAUGAAGAUGUACCGGAUGGUGUGGCUGCAAAUGAAGGAAAGAUGGCCAGAAAUCAUCAGGAGCCAGGAAGAGGGUCUUAAAAGCCAACUUUGUGGUUUCUCAAAGCUGAUUUUUUACCAGUGGGAGAGGCAGGCUGCUGCUUUCCAGGGGAAGCAGCCAGAAGUGCUUGUGUAGAGACAAAGGUGUGCAAUGCAGGCACGGAGACAUUAGCUAAGUAUUUUCCGGAUCACUCGUCCAGUACAUUUGUAUUCAGAUCUGACUUGAGAGUCUGCACCCUUCUGCAUUCCUGAUAUUUCUGCUUCUCCCAGAGAGAUUUAUAGAACCCCGGACAUCUGGUGACCUACAAGUAGCAGCAGUGUCUCAUCAGAAAAGCAGAUAAGCCAACAUUUGUGACUACCCUGGAAUUUGUAGCCAUCCUCAUGCUUACCCAUCCAAUAUGCCUUCC